CCCGCGCCCUCCCCCGGGGCAGGCCUUUCUCAGGGACCCUGCUGCCCGCUUGGUGGCUCUCCUGCCUCCAUAGCCUCGAUAAUCCUCCUCUGCCUUGUCCUCUGAACUCUGUGUUCAGUAUUUAUGCCACAGAGGUGACGUGUUAAACUUUGCAGAGCCAAAGGGCUCCUUCUUACCACUGCUAAGUAGUCCUGUGGCUUUUGGGCCUUAUCGCUCCUCCCCUGAGGCAGCAAGAGCCGCUGACUUCAGGCCAGAUAAGGAAACACCACAGACGGGUCAGGAGGAGGCCAAGGGGCACUAGGAAGUAAAUACGCUGUUACAAAAAAAAAAUUGCGAAUUUGUCAAAAUAUUUUCCUGUCCCAAUCUCACUGAAUUCUCAAAGGCCCGUGUCUGAGGCGGCCGCCCUCACUCUCUACGGCACCGACGGAGACACUGAGUUGUACUCCUGGGAUCUGCUGUGCCAGGAUACGUUUUGGGUGUGUGGGGGAUGGAGGAAGUUACUGCCGAUUUGAAUUGGUGGAAAGUUCGGAGAAGGGCCAUUGCCAAGACAUUCGCCCUUAGUACCCUGAAGUGCGGACACAGAUGAACUGAUACGAAAUCUCAUCCACUGGAGACGAGCCUCAGCCUUGCCUUUAACACAUACCUGAGGCGCACUUGAAAAUUGAUGACGGGGCUUCUCUUACACCCCGGUGAAGCCCAUCACACCGUGGUCUCAUAGUGCCAGACAGCACCGCCGAAGAACCUGGAGAAGCAAAAGACGCAACAACAGGCGCAAACCAAGAGAGACGGAGAGCGAGAGAGCGAGUGCACGUGCAAGAAGAAGGGGAGGAGGGCAGAAGGAGAGAGAGAAUCUUGAGCAGGCUCCCCCGCUCAGCGCAGAGCCCGGCCUGGGGCUUGGCCUCAACACCCUGAGAUCAGGACCUGAGCCGAAAUCAGAAGUCAGAAGCUCAAUCAACUGACCCACUCACGUGCCCCUGAAACGUUCAUUUUUGGAAACAUGCAACUAUUCAGCUACAGAAUUCCAAUUUCACUUCCCAGAAUUGCCCGGAGCCCACCUCACAUUUAAGUUCUUUCUUUCCAAUUAAUCUGGCCUAAGAGAACCAAACACUUGCCCAUGGGAAAUACAUUCAGAGCUCCCCUCUGUUGGGAUCUGCCUGCCACCCAACGCCACCUUCCCCCAGGACGCCAAGAGAGGUGUGAGUAAAGGUAAAGGGACAGAGAUGCCCCAAAGAGCUUGAGCUUUAUAUUUUUUGUGUGUGUGUGUGUUCAACAUUAUUAGGUCUCUCUGAGACUUUCCUUUAAGGCCACAUACUUACACAUCUAUCAAGUUCCUAGAAGUUCUGUGACAUAGAGUAGAAGACCCUGUAUGACUCAGAGCAAGCAGUGCAACCUCUCUGAGCUACAGUUUGCUCAUGUGUAGAACGAUGGUUGGAUCCAAAGGGAAAAGGGGAGAAGAGCAUGGCUUAGGGAGACAGCAGGACUGGAUUCAAAUCCCGAUGGCUUAUUGCUGGGCAAGAAGUUGAGCCUUGGCUUCCUUAUUUGAAAGGAGACUUCUUGGGACCCCUGGGUGGCUCAGUGGUUGAGCAUCUGCCUUUGGCUCAGGUUGUGAUCCUGGGGUCCCAGGAUCGAGUCCUGCAUUGGGCUCCCUGCAGGAAGCCUGCCUCUCCCUCUGCCUGUG